CCUACGGGAGGCAGCAGUGGGGAAUAUUGCACAAUGGGGGGAACCCUGAUGCAGCGACGCCGCGUGGGUGAAGGAGUAUUUCGGUAUGUAAAGCCCUAUCAGCAGGGAAGAACAAUGACGGUACCUGACUAAGAAGCACCGGCUAAAUACGUGCCAGCAGCCGCGGUAAUACGGAGGAUGCGAGCGUUAUCCGGAUUUAUUGGGUUUAAAGGGUGCGCAGGCGGAUUUUUAAGUCAGCGGUAAAAUCGUGGGGCUCAACCCCAUCCAGCCGUUGAAACUGGGGAUCUAGAGUGUGCGAGAGGUAUGCGGAAUGCGUGGUGUAGCGGUGAAAUGCUUAGAUAUCACGAAGAACUCCGAUUGCGAAGGCAGUUCACUGGACUGCAACUGACACUGAGGCUCGAAAGUGUGGGUAUCAAACAGGAUUAGAUACCCCAGUAGUC
rnacentral:rRNA from 1 species